rnacentral:tRNA from 1 species
GUUUUUGUGGUGUAAUGGUAGCACACUCAGCUCGUAUUCCAGAGGUCCAGGUUCGAGUCCUGGCCAGGGCC